rnacentral:sRNA from 1 species
GCUAUCAUCUUGAUUUGCCCAUUUUGGAUUUUUUGGAAGACGAGUUAAUUUACCAACCCUCAUGUUCAAUCGGUCGUCUGGUUUUGUCGCCUCAUUCUACACAUGCUCCAAUUUCCAUGAUGCACAAGCAUGCUUUGUCGCCUGCCUUUUUGCAACUGCCUAGUCAUAUAGAUUCUUCGCAUGCACAGCUCAUUUGAAAGAACACUGAAACACCCGGUUCGCCCACAAUAACCACGCUGCUGAUUUUAUUUUAAGAGAAACCUAUGCGAACUAUUGCGCACGUCAUGCGUAACUUGUGCAACUCUCAAACGGCCUAGCCUGCCUCGCUCCAUUUGGUAGUUCUCUCGCUAAUACAGAAACCCUGUUUAGACAUCUUUUGCCCGGCUUCAGUUUCAAUUUCGGAGCCAAGACAUAUUGCGAGGCCACGAGCCCAUUUCUCAAACGAUAAGAGAUAGAGCAUCUACAGACACAAAUCGACCGCGGAAAAGAUGAAUUCUUUAUGGAGAUGAUGCUUCUAAGCCAUGUAACCACCGCUCCUUCUUGCGGCUUCGAACUUGGUUAGUGCUCAACUCAUGAGGGGCAUUCACUACCACUGUUCUUAGCUCUCACAAAAAACGAAACCCAUUUAGAAACUUUUGAAAUAGCAGCCCUGUCAGUGACAUGUCAAUCAAACACGUUAUCGUCAAUAUAUUAGUUUUGGAAAUAAUACU